rnacentral:lncRNA from 1 species
CCCGCCCCUGCCAGAUCAGGGGUAACAGGUGCCCCUGCUAUGUUCCCACAGCCCCUGCGCGCUUCCCUCUGCAGUUUUUAUCCAGCAAGUGCAUUCACUUAGGAAGGACAAUGAGACUCUACUGUGCACACCAUGUGCUCGGGGUGAGGUGGGAAGUGACGCUCUUGAGAAUAACCCAGACCGGCUCCCACCCUUCCCAGUGUGGCGGGAAAGGCAGACACCUAGUCAACAAGCAGAACCAUGCUGGGCGCCGGAUUACGGGCAGAGCUGUGUAGGAAAGCUGAGGCGUGCUGGCAGGAGGAUGUGGGGGGCAUUGAAGGAGGCCUGGGCUUGGCCUCAGUCCUGCAGCUGUGAGUGUGACCUUGGACACUAGGUCACUGGUUCGGUACCUACUGUGUGCGGAGCUGGAGGGACGCCUGAGAACCAUGGCUGUCACCCCCUGAUUUAUUCUCAUGUUUGUAGCUGGGAGUACAAAUGUGAGAAUAAUGGGGCCUGGAUGUUGGGGGUUUUGCCCCCUUUUGUUGGCUGCCCCUGAGCCAGGUGGAGACCACUGGCCUCUUGCAGAUGGGGAAGCUGGGGCCCACAGAAUGCCAAGGGGUGGGGGAAGCCAGAGCAUUUCUGCCUCGGCAUGCCCUAUGUCCUUGGCGCCCUGGCUGUCAGCGAGGCUUGUGCACAGCCUGGGGACAUACCAUCCCCUUAAACCCAAUCACUGCCUCUGUUUCGCAGAUGCAGAAACAGACUGAGAGAGGCAGGGUGGCAGAGCGAGGAUGUGUUCUUUUUUCCUUUUUUUUGAAAGUAUAACUUCCUACAGGAAAGUACGCAAAUCCUAGGUGUGUAGCUGGAUAGAUUUUCACAUACCUGGGUAGCCUUGAACUCCCAUCCGGGUCCCGGACCUUCGUGCCCCUUCUAGCCAUCGCCCACCUGGCAUCUAACAUCGGAGCCUGGCUUUGUCCAUCUCUGCUUGUCCUGUAAACAGGAUCACACACGACACCCUCUUUUGGGUCUGUUGCUUUCGCUCAGCACGACGUCUGGGCGAGGUGUCUGAGUCGUUGAUCUAGCAGAAGUUGACAGAGCUGGUAUUUGAACCCUUCCACUAACUCUGCCCACGACACCCAGAGAUCACGCCUGCUCACAACCCUCCAGUGUCUCCCAUCGCCCUUGGAAGAAGGACCCAAAUCCUCUCCCAGGCGUUGCUGCGUCAGCCCCUGCCCCUGUCACUGCCCUCCAGCCAUGUGGACAGAUGGGCCUUUCAUCCUCUAAAACCCUGAGCACCUUCCUAUCUCUGGGCCUUUUCACAUGCCUUUUCCCCCUCCUGUUUGCCCUCAGCCUCCUUCCAAUGCCUGCCUGGAGUGUCACCUCCUCCAGGUUGCCUGCCUGGACUUCCCCUGACUUGGCUGGACCCUCCUGCUGGAUGUCACGAGACUAGGCCAUGCUUUUUCUUCACUGCACAUGUCGUUUGUAAUUUAUUGUCUCUUAAGCAUCUGCUUCCCCCCACUAACAGUAGACUCCAGGAGGCAGGGAUGGUGUCUGCUGGGUUCAUGGCUACAUCCCCAGCACCAUUCACUGAUGCAUUUACCCCUCCUGCUGGUCAUCUGUUCAUUCAGCAGAUAGGGAGUGUCUGCCAUGCUGCAGCCUCUUAGCUGGUAUUUACUGAAUGAAUGGAUGGCUGAAUGAAUGAAUGAGUGUCCAUCUGCCUCUGAGGCCUCACUCCACUCCACUCCAUCAUCUCUCUUGCUACCUCCCUGGGCCUCAAUUUCCCCGGAUGCCAAAGGCACCAGACCUGCCCCUUCCAGCCCAGUUCUGAUUUCGAGGCUGUGGGGCAGAUGGGCUGGUUUCGGUUGUCAGAUGCCCGGGGGCAGCCGAGCUGAGCGGGGCAGUGACUGCAGGCUACAGGGCAGAUGCUGCCGCAGACAGCAAUGCCUGCCCGAGUGCUGGCCCCAGUGCUUGGCCCAGUGCUUUCACACCCGGGUUGCCAGCGCCCCUGAUGACCCUGUCGGGGUGAAGGGCUCAGGGGGCUUGCCAGGGCCCUGCAGCUGACCCCACCUCAGCUCCAGGCUUGGCCUGCUGGGCCUGGAAGGGAAGGAAUGAGUAGGGUUGCUCGCGUGUGGGAGGCAGUGGGAAGGAGGGCUGGGGGCCUGGCUUUGAGCCUGGCUUCUCCCCUUACAGCCGUGCCUCCUCCCUUCAUGAGCUCAGUUUCCCCAGGUGUGAAAAUGGCAGUGGCCUGUCCCGAUGGGGCCUCUGAGCGUCACAUGCUCUUGGGGGGCCAGGGGCAGGUCUCCGUGAGGCUGGCCUUGUCCAGGGCGCAGGCGGCCCCGGCCUCAGCUGGGAGCCGUGCAGGCGGCGCGCAGCGCGAGGUGGCUCAGCAGCUUAGCGGCUUGUCAGCCAGGCGGGCGGGUGUCCUGGGGCCAGGUUUGAUUAGUUCAGGUUGACAGUCGCGCUCCGCGGCGCUGCCGGGAGGGGAGCCCGUGAUUACCCUAAUGAAGCUUGAACGCAGUUUGUCAUCCAAACAGCUGGUUCGGAGCUGCGCUGCUGCCAGCUGCCCGACUCAGCCGCGCAAACGCGCGCCGAGCGCCACCCGAGCCCCGAGUGGCCCCGCCACCAGGAUGACCAGGAGAGGAGGCAGUGGCCCUGGGUGGGCUGUGGGGCAGUCCCAGGGGAGUGGGGUGGGCCACCCAGGGGUGGGGGACUGUCGGAGCCUUGGGCAGUGGAGCAGGGCAGCUUCUCAGGACACCUAAGGGCAGCCACCUGACUCUAGACCUCAGUUUCUGCAUCUGUAUUUCCCUGCAGCUUUAAGUCUCAGAUUUCAGGCCGAGUCAUCUCCUCCAGGAAUCCCUCUCAGACCCUGCAGGCUGAGUCCGGGGCCUCCACAGGCACCUUCAGCCCUCAAGACAAGCCCCAUCAUCCUGAUGGCCUUGCGUUGUCACCAAAGGUCUGGAUGGUUGUCGUUGUGUCUCAUUCAUUCAUUGAGCAAAUGUUGAUGAGAACACACUGCAGCGGGCAAGCCAGUCAGUCACCAUCCUGCUGUCACGGAGUCUGCAUUCUAGUGGGAGAGACUCCUGGGGUCUGGACCUCAUCUGGGGAGUCAGGGAGGGCUUCCUGGAGGAGGUGGCAACUGAGUGCAGAACAAAAGAGGAGAGAGAGAGAGACACAAGAGUGUUCCAGGCAGGAGGACCAGCACGUGCAAAGGCCCUGAGGUAGAAGGGAGAGUGUGGUGCUGGGGAGGACCGUAGCCAUCUGGCGACAUGCUGAAGGUGUCAGUGCUUCCCAGGGAAGGGCCUUUGUUCAUGCCCUGUGCUGGGCAGCUUCACCGUGGGACCUUUCAUUUAACCGUUCUGACAGCCCUGGAAGGAAGGAUCCUUGCCUUGUGCCGCAGAAGGGGAAACUGAGGCACACAGCAUGGGGGGUGUGGGAGCCCCAUGAGCCCCCUGAGGCCCUGGACCAGGAGCUGUCUGCUAAGCGUGGAUUAGAGUCCACAUGGGCGCUCAGAUGAGGAGGGGGCUGAACUGGGGCCUGGGACCCUGUCUAGGCCUUAAGCCCACGCCCAGCAGAGGCGGGCAGCCUGGGGCCUCCAUUGAAUGGUGAUUGGCUCCUGUUACUCUGGGCCAGGUCCCGUGUUUGAACCUAGGAACUCACACUUUCUCUACCACCCUCAGGGCCGUUUCCAGCCAGGUUGAGGCCACCCUUUUCUCAGGGCUCGGCUUGGAUGGGGGAUGGGGGGGAGGGAGUCAGGAGGGGAAGAGGUACUGGCCGCCCCCAUGGCCAGCCCUCGGCUGCCUCCCAGUUUUCUCUGCCAUUGUUGAAAGCUGGGUCCCAUCCCCGUCCUCCUGCAUCCCUGUAGUGGCCUCCUGAGUGGCUUUCCAGCAGGUGUCUGCUGUGGCCGUCCUGUCCCCACUUUCUCUCUUGACACUCCCCCACCACCGCCCCAUACCGUCCAUGACUCCCGCUGCUGCUGCAGCGUGAAGCUCGCUUUCUGGACUGGCGUUUAUGGCCUCCCAGCCUUGUCCCCUAGUCCCCUGCUCCCUUCGUCCCCUUGCUCUCCCUGAGUCACCACACCCUCUUCCUCCUGGAGAGGGGAGCGUGAGGCCUGGGUCCUGCAUGACCAUCUGUCCCGUGGCCCCUCUCGAGGCGGGUAUGUGCCAGACUCGACAGGCAGGUGCUCACCCGGCUGCUGGGCAGACGGAGCAGCCUGAGAGCCGCGCCGAAGGAUGGGUUUACGGCCUCACCGCAGGAAGGGAGGAAUUCCCACCACUCUGCUGCCUCCUUCUCACUGCCGCGUGGUGUGACUGCCGCUGUCACAGUUGCUGCUGCCACCUGCCUGGGGAGGUGGUGGCUCUGGAAGAGAGCUAGUUUAUCAGAUUCACCCGCCUCUCGCCUCCAGGAGACCCCACCGAGGUCCUGCCCUGGCUCAGAGAGAGAUGCAGGGAGGCGGGCUGCCAAAGAGGGGUGGGGAGUGAGCCCAGGGCGGGGACAGAGAUGGCCAGUGGGAUGCGGGUGUGGACAGAGUGGGCCCCAGCUUGCCCCUGGUUGGCAGUCAAGUGCUUCAGGGGGGUCACGCAUGGUGGGCAGGACUCCAGCCUUGGCGGGGGCUGGCCAAGAACACCGGGAAACGUGUGAUUCCUCCUCCCCCAGCCUCGGCUCGUGUUCCUUCUCCCACCCGGUAAGCCCUUCCUUGGCCGCAGCCUGCGUCACAGGCUCCCCCGGGCUCUGGAACGGGCCGCAGCAGGUGAAUUCAGUGAGAGCGAGCAGCGAGGCUCCCAAAGGUGUGUUGGGCCCUUGCCACGUGCUGGGCCCGGGUUAUGCAUUUCACGUGUAUCAUCCUCUGGGCCCCAACCCACAACCAGGUGAGGGAGUAUCGUCCCUCUGCCUGCUUUACACAUGCAGAAACUGAGGCCCAGAGAGGUUAAGUGACUCAGUAGGGUCACACAGCCAGGAGUGAGCUGGGUCUGAUCCUGGGUAGUCCGAAACUAAGGACUGAGCUUGUAACCAGAAGAUUGGGGGCAGGAAAAGGGCCCAGGUGGGGACAGCUGCCCAGGCUCAGGUGGGUUGUGGAGUGGGUGCUGUGCCUUUUUUUUUUUUUUUGAUUUUUAGGGCUGUACCCGUGGCACAUGGAGGUUUCAGGCUAAGGGUCCGAUCAGAGCUGCAUUUGCCAGCCUACACCACAGCCACAACAACACCGGAUCCUUAACCCACUGAGCGAGGCCAGAGAUUGAACCUGCAUCCUCGUGGAUACUGGUCGGGUUCGUAACCCGCCUAUCCACAGCAGGAACUCCAGAGCUGUGCCUGAGAACAGGCCUGAGCCCUGUGCGUUGAGUGUAGCUUGGGUCUUGGGGCCAAGUUAUCUCCACACGCUCCUUUGGAGAGGACUGGACCUCACAACCAUCAAGCACUGGGUCCUGAAAGCACCCGUCCUGUCCUACCCCGGGGAGGCCAGGGCUCCAGGCCACCUGUCUUCCCAGGAGACCCUGGCCAUUUGCUGAGAAAAGGUUCCCGAGAGUGGGCUCCGCAGAGGGUGCUGUGGCCCGGCUGCAGGGAACAGGGGUGUAGGGCAGGUGGAGAGGCCUGGGGGUGCGGUCUUCCUGCAGAAGGAGCAGCUCCCAGUCUCUCCAGGCCAGGCCUGGGAGGGUGGGUGGAGGGAAUGCAUGAGUUCAUCUAAGAGAAGAUAGGGCCUGACCCACUACACUGAUGGCACAUCGGAUGCUCACAGCUAUUAAAAAAAAAAAA